rnacentral:rRNA from 1 species
AACGAACGCUGGCGGCAUGCCUAACACAUGCAAGUCGAACGAUGCCUCCGGGCAUAGUGGCGCACGGGUGCGUAACGCGUGGGAAUCUGCCCUUGGGUUCGGAAUAACUCGCCGAAAGGCGAGCUAAUACCGGAUGAUGACGUAAGUCCAAAGAUUUAUCGCCCAAGGAUGAGCCCGCGUAGGAUUAGCUAGUUGGUGGGGUAAAGGCCCACCAAGGCGACGAUCCUUAGCUGGUCUGAGAGGAUGAUCAGCCACACUGGGACUGAGACACGGCCCAGACUCCUACGGGAGGCAGCAGUGGGGAAUAUUGGACAAUGGGCGAAAGCCUGAUCCAGCAAUGCCGCGUGAGUGAUGAAGGCCUUAGGGUUGUAAAGCUCUUUUACCCGGGAUGAUAAUGACAGUACCGGGAGAAUAAGCUCCGGCGAACUCCGU